GAUGAACGCUGGCGGCGUGCCUAAUACAUGCAAGUCGAGCGAACGGACGAGAAGCUUGCUUCUCUGAUGUUAGCGUCGGACGUGUGAGUAACACGUUGAUAACCUACCUAUAAGUCUUGGAUAACUUCGGGAAACCGGAGCUAAUACCGGAUAAUAUUUUGAACCGCAUUGUUCAAAAGUUAAAGACGGUCUUUCUGUCACUUAUAGAUUUAUCCGCGCUGCAUUAGCUAGUUGGUAAGGUAACGGCUUACCAAGGCAACGAUGCAUAGACGACCUGAGAGGGUGAUCGGCAACAGUGGAACGGAGACACGGUCCAGACUCCAACGGGAGGAAGCAGUAGGGAAUCUUCCGCAAUGGGCGAAAGCAUGACGGAGCAACGCCGCGUGAGAGAUGAAGGUCUUCGGAUCGUAAAACUCUGUUAUUAGGGAAGAACAUAUGUGUAAGUAACUGUGCACAUCUUGACGGUACCUAAUCAGAAAGCCACGGCUAACUACGUG
rnacentral:rRNA from 1 species